AAAAAGUCUUGAGUAAAGUAGUGGACUUGUUCAUUUGUCACCUCAUAUAUUAUGCGCAUUCAGUCUCCUCGGAAGUCACCACAAAGUGAGGGAAAGGUUGAGUAAUUCAAUAAAAUUAUCCUGAGAUCACAUUGUAGGUUAUACAUUUAUUUAAGCAAUUCUGUUAUCAACACCAGCCUGCUUCCUUUGGGUGUGUUUUAGUAUGUGUGUUAGCUUGAUGAGUUCCCUGUCUUGUCUUUUCACAGACAAAGAAAAUGUCUUUAGGUGCCAUUAAUGGACAUUAAGAUUCAAGUCAGCUUUGUGUUACCAAAUAAAUG
rnacentral:lncRNA from 1 species